AGACGGACCCGGCGGGAGAGGAGGAAGCCGGGUUGUGGGCGCGGAGCUGAGGCGGAGGCGGGGCCGGGGCGGGAAGGGGCGGCCCCAGCUGGGUCGGGCGAGGCUGGCUGCGGGAAACCGAGUGAGCCCUCGCUUUUCCUCCGGGGUCCGCGCGCGGGACCCUAUUUCUGGCCUGUCUCGCGCUUCGCCUGCGCGGUGGUCUCCACGCUGGGACUGCGGCGUCCUCGCAGAACAGCCAGAACUCCACUUCUUCCUGUCCGGGAGGAGUUGUUUAAAACAUGCGUAUCUCCACCUUCUGCUUCUUAGAACAGAACUGACUGAAGCCGUGUUCUUCCCGCCGAGACCAUGCCGCCCCAUCGACCCUGCUGCGGCCAGAGCCACCCAGGGCGGGCCCACUCACCGCAGGCUCGGGCCACUUGGUUCCAAACCUCCACUCCCAUCCAGGGGCCCGGCACACCCACCACACUCCCACUCUCAGAGGUCUUUGCCGCCUGCUUCAGGAGAAAAGAGAAACUUCCACUUUCCACCGGCAAAACUGCACACCUGCUCCCUCCAUCACCGAGCCCCCCCCCCCACCUUCUGUUUUUCCAGUAUCGCAGAAUCCGAUCCGUUGCUCCCUCUGGACUGGAAUCCGUAUCCUCGGCAUUUCAUCAUUCCAAGAUUCUCUACUCCACGUACCCUUGCUGCCACCCUCUUCUACUUUCCAUCGCUGAAGUUGGUGAAAGAGGCGCCUGCCCCCAGUUUUGUGGUCUCUCAACUCCACGUGUUCGUUUUCACACUCGGUGAAAUUGCCUUUUUAAUUGUCGCAAGUAGCAUCCACAUCACUAAAGUCAAAGGACACUCUCCUUUCUCGUGUUAACUGAUCUGAGCAAAAUUCCUUCUUUCUCCUUAAAACACGUCUUCCUGUGGCGGGGGUGCUCCACUUUCCUGUCUGUCCCCAGUCUUGGCGUGCUUGUCUACUCUGGGUGACCACCAAAUAACAGAGUUUUCAAGGUCUCAGACCUUUCCUCUUACUCCACAAUUUUUCCCUGAAUGAUUUAACCUGCUGUCAACAUUUAAAUCAAUAUAUCCCAAAUUUGCAACUCUAAUCUUUGCUCCUCUGAGCUCCAAAUCCGUUUAUCUAGCUUCCUAUUCAGCUACUCCUGGUAACAAGCACCUCAAAUGGAACCCAUCCAAAACUGAAUGCGUCCUUUCCCUGCUUGCUUUCAACUCCCUGUCUCCCUUGUUUCCCAAACUCUGCCUUCACCUCGGCAUCUAACAAAUCGCCAAGAUUCUACUUCCUAAAUAACUCUGAAGUCUGUCCACUUCCUACCAUUUCCAGUAUUACGUAUCAUAAUGUGCUUACUGCACGUGCGUUUUCCCGGCCCACACUCAGUGAUGUCUCGUUGGUAGACUGUAAUGGGCCAUGGUCGAAGUAUUUACACCAUGGAAAUUAGCCAACAUUAUGAAUCAUGAAUCAGGGAUCGAUUUGUUUUGCUGAUUGUCUCUAGACUUCAGAAAGUGAUGGGGAAGAUGUUAAUAAUGUAGAUUAAACUUAAAAAUGUGUUUAGUGCUGAAACAAGAUUGCAGUUUAAUGAGUUUAUACAAGGGUAAGAAGUAGUUUAACAGAUCACAUAUCAGAUUUAAGGACAAUAAAUUUGUUGGCAAAAAGUGGAUCGGUAUGUAAUUUCACUAGUCACAUCAUGGUUGAGUUACAAGCAUUGGAUGGAUUCAGAUACAAGCCUUUGGCAAAAAAGAAGCAAAGCUUUCUGUGAGAAUCAGUCAAGUAGAUAGAACUGACAAUAAAGAGUGUCUGCCUUUUACUUGUGUAUUGUUUAUUACACAUCCUUUAUAUCAGAAACAUUUAUAACACACAUAUGGUUGUAUAUAUAGGUGGAAAUAAAAAGCAGAUGAGAUUUUAGUCAGUUUUUUUUUUUAUACUUUUAAGUUCUAGGGUACAUGUGCAGAACGUGCAGGUUUGUUACAUAGGUAUGUAUGUGCCAUGUUGGUUUGCUGCACCCAUCAAGUUGUCAUUUACAUUAGGUAUUUCUCCUAAUGCUAUCCCUCCCCCAGCACCCCACCCCCUGACAGGCCCCGGUGUGGGUGCGUGAGGUUCCCCACCCUGUGUCCAUGUGUUCUCAUUGUUCAAGUCCCACCUAUGAGUGAGAACAUGUGGUGUUUGGUUUUCUGUCCUUGUGAUGCUUUGCUCAGAAUGAUGGUUUGCAGCUUCAUCCAUGUCCCUGCAAAGGACAUGAACUCAUCCUUUUUUAUGGCUGCAUAGUAUUCCAUGAUGUAUAUGUGCCACAGUUUAUUAAUCCAGUCUAUCGCUGAUGGACAUUUGGGUUGGUUCCAAGUCUUUGCUAUUUUAAAUAGUGCUGCAAUAAACAUACGUGUGCAUGUGCCUUUAUAGUAGUGUGAGUUAUAAUCCUUUGGGUAUAUACCCAGUAAUGGGAUCGCUGGGUCAAAUGGUAUUUCUAGUUCUGGAUGCUUAAGGAAUAGCCACACUGUCUUCCACAAUGGUUGAACUAGUUUACACUCCCACCAACAGUAUAAAAGCGUUCCUGUUUCUCCACAUCCUCUCCAGCAUCUGUUGUUUCCUUAAUUUUUAAUGAUAGCCAUUCUAACUGGCAUGAGAUGGUAUCUUAUUGUGGUUUUGAUUUGCAUUUCUCUGAUGGCCAGUGAUGAUGAGCAUUUUUUCAUGUGUCUGUUGGCUGCAUAAAUGUCUUCUUUUGAGAAGUGUCUGUUCAUAUCCUUUGCCCACUU
rnacentral:lncRNA from 1 species